CACGUGGGCGUAACUCGUAUGUGAACGUAAGCGCUAUCGUCAAGACCACCUCAGAAAGGCUCUGUGUCAUAAAUGAACUGGCAGAAAAUCUUUGGCCAAAUCUGUUAUGCUGCUCAAAGAAUAGGUUUCAUCACAGUUGAACUUCAAAAGUAUUCUAAUAUUAACAACAGAGUUACUAGCAAGCCACACCGGUUAUUCAUCAACUGCAGAUCUCAAGGCACUACUGUGGGCAUGGCUGGCCUUCAACAACAAAACUUCCAAUAUUUUUUAGUCUUGGACUUUGAAGCUACAUGUGAUACGACUCAUAUUCAUCCUCAAGAUUCCUAAAUCAAAGAGCCUG